UGAACUGGCCCCUCUCCCACCGCGGCUUAGCCGCCGGCGCAACCAGAUUAGUUUCGUUCGGUCGUCCGGGAGACUCCAGCCACCCAUCCGGCCCGGAGUAAUGGAUGCUCUGCGGGCAUGGAGGGCCUCCAAUCUCCUCGGCUUCGCGGCCUCCCGCGUUGUCACCGCCGCCUCCGCGGCUAGGCCACUCCGCCUCCGCCUCCGUUGCUGCUCUUCAGCUGCCGCCACGACGAACCAGAAGCAGCAGCAGCCGCCGCCGCCGCCGCGGCUGCCUCAGGACCGUCGUCGCCGUAAUGCUUCCACCUCCACCUCCGACCGCGACUCCAUCCGCGCCAUCCGCCUCAAAAAGGUUGAGGAGCUAAGAGGAAAGGGUUAUGAGCCAUAUGCGUACAAGUGGGAUAGGACUCACACGACUAAGAAGCUUCAGGAAGAGUACACCCAUCUUGAAAAUGGUGAAAUCUUUGAGGAGGUAGCGGUCUCCAUUGCCGGCAGGAUUGUUGCCCGAAGGGCAUUUGGAAAGCUUGUUUUCAUGACUAUAAGAGAUGAUACUGGGACUAUUCAGCUUUACUGCGAGAAAGACAACCUGACGGAGGACCAAUUUGAACAACUGAAGGCAUUUAUUGAUAUUGGUGAUAUCAUAGGUGCAAGUGGAUCCAUAAAGAAGACAGAGAAAGGGGAACUAUCUCUUUAUACGAAAAAUUUUGAGAUCCUCACAAAAUCCUUACUCCCACUACCAGACAAGUAUCAUGGGUUAACUGAUGUCGACAAACGUUAUCGUCAAAGGUAUGUUGACAUGAUCGCAAAUCCUGAGGUUGCUGAUGUAUUCCGCACUAGAGCAAAGACAAGGAACAAAGUAGAGAAAAAAGGAAUUCUGUUUUGGGACCAAGCAAAAUUGGAUUGCUGUGCCAUAGGAAGGAUAGCUAUACUAAUUCAGUAUACUCAAAAUACACCUUUGGUACAAAAUUGUCAAUCUCACAAGGAUGAAAUAUCAGUUGUUUCUGAAAUCCGCAAGACAAUGGAAUCAUUUGGUUUCAUUGAAGUUGAAACUCCAGUUCUACAGGGAGCAGCAGGUGGUGCUGAAGCUAGACCUUUCAUAACCUAUCAUAACUCACUUCAAAGAGAUCUUUACUUGAGGAUUGCAACAGAGCUGCAUUUGAAAAGGAUGUUGGUUGGAGGGCUUGAGAGGGUAUACGAGAUUGGAAGAAUUUUCCGGAAUGAAGGCAUCUCUACUCGUCAUAAUCCUGAAUUUACCACCAUUGAGAUGUAUGAAGCAUAUUCAGACUAUGAAAGCAUGAUGAAAAUGGCUGAAGAAAUUGUUGUUCGAUGUACUAUGGCUACUCAUGGCAAGCUUAAGAUUGAUUAUCAGGGAACUGAAAUUUCUCUUGAAAGACCAUGGAGGAGGGAGACCAUGCAUUCUCUUGUCAAAGAAGCAACUGGAAUCGACUUCAACAUCUUCGGACAAGAUGUUGAAUCUGCUAAAAGUGCUGCAAGAGGACUGCCAGGGAUCAACACAGGAAGCAGGGGAAGUACUUCACUGCAAUCCUGUUCAUCUGUUGGACAUGUUCUUAAUGAGGUUUUUGAGACUUUUGUUGAAUCUACUCUUGUACAACCAACAUUUGUCCUUGACUACCCAGUUGAGAUAUCUCCAUUGGCAAAACCACAUCGGAGUUAUGCUGGCCUCACUGAACGAUUUGAACUUUUUAUAUGUGGUCGUGAAAUUGGCAACGCAUUUUCUGAGCUCACAGACCCAAUUGAUCAGUUGACAAGCUGUAAAACUACAUGGUACGAGGAGACGUUUUGAAAAUCAAAUAAAACAACACAAUGCUACACGUGCUGCAAGGGCUAAGGUCAAAUUUACUGAGGAUCAAGGAGAUGAGGAUGAUUAUUCCUAUGAAGUUUGUUUAGAUGAAGACUUCUUAACUUCAUUAGAAUAUGGAAUGCCACCAGCAUCAGGAAUGGGCCUGGGUAUCGACCGGUUAGUAAUGCUUUUGACGAACUCUGCCAGCAUAAGGGAUGUUAUUGCCUUUCCUGUCUUGAAGAUUCAGCAAUAGAUCUUUCACAUUUGACGUAAGAAGAGAUACACUAUUGGGAGAAAUGUGGUUGUCAAAGCAAUCAUGGGCAGCCUUCGUUUCGCUCUUGUUUUAUUCAUGAAGAUUUUACAUUUGUUUCCUUUUAGCUGAUAGCUAGAUAUGGCCACUGAUCAAUCUAUAAAUCUUAAUGUACUAUGAGAUUUUUCAACACUUGUAUCAAUAAUGGAUUCCGCAUAUUUCAUGGGAUGGAAUGAAUGCGAUACAAAACAGCAGCAAACUCCGACAAGCCUAUUCAUAAUAAUUUGAAUUAUCAUUUAAUAAAUUGUUUGAUA